GACGAACGCUGGCGGCGUGCUUAACACAUGCAAGUCGAACGCUGAAGCUUGGUGCUUGCACUGGGUGGAUGAGUGGCGAACGGGUGAGUAAUACGUGAGUAACCUGCCCUUGACUCUGGGAUAAGCCUGGGAAACUGGGUCUAAUACUGGAUAUGACAUGCCACUGCAUGGCGGUGUGUGGAAAGGGUUUUACUGGUUUUGGAUGGGCUCACGGCCUAUCAGCUUGUUGGUGGGGUAAUGGCCUACCAAGGCGACGACGGGUAGCCGGCCUGAGAGGGUGACCGGCCACACUGGGACUGAGACACGGCCCAGACUCCUACGGGAGGCAGCAGUGGGGAAUAUUGCACAAUGGGCGGAAGCCUGAUGCAGCGACGCCGCGUGAGGGAUGACGGCCUUCGGGUUGUAAACCUCUUUCAGCACGGAAGAAGCGAGAGUGACGGUACGUGCAGAAGAAGCGCCGGCUAACUACGUG
rnacentral:rRNA from 1 species